CGGGAUUAGAGGGACAGAGGACCGAGUGUCACCAUGGCGACUGACCAAAGCUGAGGGAGGCAAACAGUAAGGAACGAAACGGGGCGCCGGAGUCAAGGCCCUCACUCUUUUCACCUCGAAGUGGAGGAGAUACCUGAAGGUGGGAUUUGUUUGUGGAGCUGCACUCAGCAAGUAGGAAAAAUAACAGAGGAGACACACCGGCACACAGCAGCUAAGCUUUAAUGAAACACAAGAUGGAGCUACUAGACUCAUUAUCGAGUGUUCUUCAGAACAGCGUUAAAAUGAAGUCUCACCCUGUAAAGAAAGAGCUGUCAUUAUCAGUACAUAUCAAAUAUUGCAUUUCACCGACACAGAGCUACCUGUCUACCUGAUACAUGAAAAAUUUUUUUAAAUAUAUUUUGGUAAACUG